rnacentral:rRNA from 1 species
AGAUUAAGUUAUUAAGGGCGCACGGUGGAUGCCUUGGCACUAGAAGCCGAUGAAGGACGUUACUAACGACGAUAUGCUUUGGGUAGCUGUAAGUAAGCGUUGAUCCAGAGAUUUCCGAAUGGGGGAACCCAGCAUGAGUUAUGUCAUGUUAUCGACAUGUGAAUUCAUAGCAUGUCAGAAGGCAGACCCGGAGAACUGAAACAUCUUAGUACCCGGAGGAAGAGAAAGAAAAAUCGAUUCCCUGAGUAGCGGCGAGCGAAACGGGAAGAGCCCAAACCAACAAGCUUGCUUGUUGGGGUUGUAGGACACUCUAUACGGAGUUACAAAAGAACAUGUUAGACGAAUCAUCUGGAAAGAUGAAUCAAAGAAGGUAAUAAUCCUGUAGUCGAAAACAUAUUCUCUCUUGAGUGGAUCCUGAGUACGACGGAGCACGUGAAAUUCCGUCGGAAUCUGGGAGGACCAUCUCCUAAGGCUAAAUACUCUCUAGUGACCGAUAGUGAACCAGUACCGUGAGGGAAAGGUGAAAAGUACCCCGGAAGGGGAGUGAAAGAGAACUUGAAACCGUGUGCUUACAAGUAGUCAGAGCCCGUUAAUGGGUGAUGGCGUGCCUUUUGUAGAAUGAACCGGCGAGUUACGAUCUGAUGCAAGGUUAAGCAGCAAAUGUGGAGCCGCAGCGAAAGCGAGUCUGAAUAGGGCGUUGAGUAUUUGGUCGUAGACCCGAAACCAGGUGAUCUACCCUUGGUCAGGUUGAAGUUCAGGUAACACUGAAUGGAGGACCGAACCGACUUACGUUGAAAAGUGAGCGGAUGAACUGAGGGUAGCGGAGAAAUUCCAAUCGAACUUGGAGAUAGCUGGUUCUCUCCGAAAUAGCUUUAGGGCUAGCCUCAAGUGAUGAUUAUUGGAGGUAGAGCACUGUUUGGACGAGGGGCCCCUCUCGGGUUACCGAAUUCAGACAAACUCCGAAUGCCAAUUAAUUUAACUUGGGAGUCAGAACAUGGGUGAUAAGGUCCGUGUUCGAAAGGGAAACAGCCCAGACCACCAGCUAAGGUCCCAAAAUAUAUGUUAAGUGGAAAAGGAUGUGGCGUUGCCCAGACAACUAGGAUGUUGGCUUAGAAGCAGCCAUCAUUUAAAGAGUGCGUAAUAGCUCACUAGUCGAGUGACACUGCGCCGAAAAUGUACCGGGGCUAAACAUAUUACCGAAGCUGUGGAUUGUCCUUUGGACAAUGGUAGGAGAGCGUUCUAAGGGCGUCGAAGCAUGAUCGCAAGGACAUGUGGAGCGCUUAGAAGUGAGAAUGCCGGUGUGAGUAGCGAAAGACGGGUGAGAAUCCCGUCCACCGAUUGACUAAGGUUUCCAGAGGAAGGCUCGUCCGCUCUGGGUUAGUCGGGUCCUAAGCUGAGGCCGACAGGCGUAGGCGAUGGAUAACAGGUUGAUAUUCCUGUACCACCUAGUAUCGUUUUAAUCGAUGGGGGGACGCAGUAGGAUAGGCGAAGCGUGCUGUUGGAGUGCACGUCCAAGCAGUAAGGCUGAGUGUUAGGCAAAUCCGGCACUCAUAAGGCUGAGCUGUGAUGGGGAGAGGAAAUUGUUUCCUCGAGUCGCUGAUUUCACACUGCCGAGAAAAGCCUCUAGAUAGAUAACAGGUGCCCGUACCGCAAACCGACACAGGUAGUCAAGAUGAGAAUUCUAAGGUGAGCGAGCGAACUCUCGUUAAGGAACUCGGCAAAAUGACCCCGUAACUUCGGGAGAAGGGGUGCUCUUUAGGGUUCACGCCCAGAAGAGCCGCAGUGAAUAGGCCCAAGCGACUGUUUAUCAAAAACACAGGUCUCUGCUAAACCGUAAGGUGAUGUAUAGGGGCUGACGCCUGCCCGGUGCUGGAAGGUUAAGAGGAGUGGUUAGCUUCUGCGAAGCUACGAAUCGAAGCCCCAGUAAACGGCGGCCGUAACUAUAACGGUCCUAAGGUAGCGAAAUUCCUUGUCGGGUAAGUUCCGACCCGCACGAAAGGCGUAACGAUUUGGGCACUGUCUCAACGAGAGACUCGGUGAAAUCAUAGUACCUGUGAAGAUGCAGGUUACCCGCGACAGGACGGAAAGACCCCGUGGAGCUUUACUGUAGCCUGAUAUUGAAAUUCGGCACAGCUUGUACAGGAUAGGUAGGAGCCUUUGAAACGUGAGCGCUAGCUUACGUGGAGGCGUUGGUGGGAUACUACCCUAGCUGUGUUGGCUUUCUAACCCGCACCACUUAUCGUGGUGGGAGACAGUGUCAGGCGGGCAGUUUGACUGGGGCGGUCGCCUCCUAAAAGGUAACGGAGGCGCUCAAAGGUUCCCUCAGAAUGGUUGGAAAUCAUUCAUAGAGUGUAAAGGCAUAAGGGAGCUUGACUGCGAGACCUACAAGUCGAGCAGGGUCGAAAGACGGACUUAGUGAUCCGGUGGUUCCGCAUGGAAGGGCCAUCGCUCAACGGAUAAAAGCUACCCGGGGAUAACAGGCUUAUCUCCCCCAAGAGUUCACAUCGACGGGGAGGUUUGGCACCUCGAUGUCGGCUCAUCGCAUCCUGGGGCUGUAGUCGGUCCCAAGGGUUGGGCUGUUCGCCCAUUAAAGCGGUACGCGAGCUGGGUUCAGAACGUCGUGAGACAGUUCGGUCCCUAUCCGUCGUGGGCGUAGGAAAUUUGAGAGGAGCUGUCCUUAGUACGAGAGGACCGGGAUGGACAUACCUCUGGUGUACCAGUUGUCGUGCCAACGGCAUAGCUGGGUAGCUAUGUAUGGACGGGAUAAGUGCUGAAAGCAUCUAAGCAUGAAGCCCCCCUCAAGAUGAGAUUUCCCAACUUCGGUUAUAAGAUCCCUCGAAGAUGACGAGGUUAAUAGGUUCGAGGUGGAAGCGUGGUGACACGUGGAGCUGACGAAUACUAAUCGAUCGAAGACUUAAUCAAUUUUUAAA